CCUACGGGAGGCAGCAGUGAGGAAUAUUGGUCAAUGGGCUUACGCCUGAACCAGCCAAGUCGCGUGAGGGAAGACUGCCCUAUGGGUUGUAAACCUCUUUUGUCAGGGAGCAAUUGGCGCUACGUGUAGCGUUAUCGAGAGAACCUGAAGAAUAAGCAUCGGCUAACUCCGUGACAGCAGCCGCGGUAAGACGGGGGAUGCGAGCGUGAUCCGGAUUUAGUGGGUUUAAAGGGUGCGGAGGCGGAAUGCCAAGUCAGCGGGAAAGUCGCGGGGAUAAACCUCGCUCCGCCGUUGACACUGGCAUUCGAGAGUGAGCGAGAGGGAUGCGGAAUGCGUGGUGUAGCGGUGAAAUGCGUAGAUAUCACGAAGAACUC
rnacentral:rRNA from 1 species